UGUGCUUGUUAUGGCAUCAGCUACUGAUAAAACUCAGUAUUCACCUCUCUCCAAGGGAAGCAACAUGCUUGGCAUAAACAUUCACUUAAUUGAAAGUGCUGCAGGCAAUAUAGGUCACAGAUGGCUGCACCGAUUAGAGAGAGGAAAACCUUUCCAAUUUCAUUGCACAUGUAUGAUUGGAUCUUGGGUUGAUUUGAACUGGCAUAGAUUCAUGAAGCUACAUUGAUUUGCUCCAGCUGAGGGCUUGAACUGGUCCCUUUGAAACAGGAUGCCUUGGUUGAUGCUCACUUUUCCACUCUUUCCACACUGCUGUGCUUUCUGUCAACCUCACCUCCUAGACUCAGGUGCCAAC